rnacentral:misc_RNA from 1 species
CUGGUAGAUUAGAUGAACAGGCCACUUGCUUUCUCAAAACUCAAAAGGAUGAUUAAGCAGAGCUAAUUUUUUCCAUGUGCUCUAUCUUCUCUAUUUGGAAACUCUCUGUGUGCUCUUGCCACUUUUCAUUCUCAAGAAACCUUUCAUAGAAGUUAACCUCCCCACUUGAUUUUAUGGACAACACGGAAGUGCUUCUGGUUCCAUAGUGUCCCAAUGGAGCGUCUGUCUCAACAAAUAUGGAACUCAACUGGCAUUCAAACUCAGCAGGAUAAAUUUUCGGUAACAUGCUCUCAUCAACGUCUUUAACAGUGUUUGUCAUUAGUAUUUCAACCAUCUCUUUCACAGGAAGCUCUCUUUCACCAUAUUUAUCUAACAAAUCUUUAAAAUUAUGGCCCAAUCGUUGAGCCUUAGGCCACGGGGAGUCUAGGCUUGCAUUUGAUAACACAUGCAUUCCAGGUGCAACAUCUGUGAUAAAAUUGUUUUCUGCUUUUGGUCUAUUGGUUACAUAAACCAUGGAUUUGGAACAGAUAUCAGUUAGUAUUAGGUUAAAUCCACUAUACUUUUCUGCCUCUUUUGCAAGAUCCGCGGCAAACUCCUUAGGAUUCUUGUUGCUCUCCAAGAAAUGAAC